UUAAAGUCUAACCUGCCCACUGAAAUUUUUAAAUGGCCGCAGUAUUCUAACUGUGCAAAGGUAGCAUAAUCAUUAGUCUUUUAAUUGAAGGCUGGAAUGAAUGGUUGGACGAAAUAUUAACUGUUUCAUUUUAAUUUUUUAUAGAAUUUUAUUUUUUAGUCAAAAAGCUAAAAUUUUAUUAAAAGACGAGAAGACCCUAUAAAUCUUUAUAUUUUGUUUAUUUUAAUUUUAAAGAUUAAUUUAAUUUUAAUAAAUUAAAAUAUUUUAUUGGGGUGAUAUUAAAAUUUAAAAAACUUUUAAUUUUUAAAACCAUUAAUUUAUGAAUAAUUGAUCCAUUAAUAAUGAUUAAAAAUUUAAGUUACUUUAGGGAUAACAGCGUAAUUUUUUUGGAGAGUUCAUAUCGAUAAAAAAGAUUGCGACCUCGAUGUUGGAUUAAGAUAUAAUUUUGGGUGUAGCCGUUCAAAUUUAAAGUCUGUUCGACUUUUAAAUUCUUACAUGAUCUGAGUUCAAACCGGCGUAAGCCAGGUUGGUUUCUAUCUUUAAUUAAUUAUAAUAUUUUAGUACGAAAGGACCAAAUAUUAAAAUAAUUAUAUUUUAAAAAAGAAUAUUAUUAAUAAUU
rnacentral:rRNA from 1 species